rnacentral:rRNA from 1 species
UGGGGAAUAUUGCACAAUGGGGGAAACCCUGAUGCGGCGACGCCGCGUGAACGAAGAAGGUAUUCGUAUCGUAAAGUUCUGUCCUAUGGGAAGAUAAUGACAGUACCAUAGAAGAAAGCUCCGGCUAAAUACGUGCCAGCAGCCGCGGUAAUACGUAGGUCCCGAGCGUUGUCCGGAUUUAUUGGGCGUAAAGCGAGCGCAGGCGGUUAGAUAAGUCUGAAGUUAAAGGCAGUGGCUCAACCAUUGUAGGCUUUGGAAACUGUUUAACUUGAGUGCAGAAGGGGAGAGUGGAAUUCCAUGUGUAGCGGUGAAAUGCGUAGAUAUAUGGAGGAACACCGGUGGCGAAAGCGGCUCUCUGGUCUGUAACUGACGCUGAGGCUCGAAAGCGUGGGGAGCGAACAGG